CUGAGGUACUGGAAGGUCNUCAGGCCGAAAGGGGCUCUGCCCGCCCGAGGAUGGGCCGGCGGCCGAUUAGGUAGUUGGUGGGGUAACGGCCCACCAAGCCGAAGAUCGGUACGGGCCAUGAGAGUGGGAGCCCGGAGAUGGACACUGAGACACGGGUCCAGGCCCUACGGGGCGCAGCAGGCGCGAAACCUCCGCAAUGCGGGCAACCGCGACGGGGGGACCCCCAGUGCCGUGGCAACGCCACGGCUUUUCCGGAGUGUAAAAAGCUCCGGGAAUAAGGGCUGGGCAAGGCCGGUGGCAGCCGCCGCGGUAAUACCGGCGGCCCGAGUGGUGGCCGCUAUUAUUGGGCCUAAAGCGUCCGUAGCCGGGCCCGUAAGUCCCUGGCGAAAUCCCACGGCUCAACCGUGGGGCUUGCUGGGGAUACUGCGGGCCUUGGGACCGGGAGAGGCCGGGGGUACCCCUGGGGUAGGGGUGAAAUCCUAUAAUCCCAGGGGGACCGCCAGUGGCGAAGGCGCCCGGCUGGAACGGGUCCGACGGUGAGGGACGAAGGCCAGGGGAGCGAACCGGAUUAGAUACCCGGGUAGUCCUGGCUGUAAAGGAUGCGGGCUAGGUGUCGGGCGAGCUUCGAGCUCGCCCGGUGCCGAAGGGAAGCCGU
rnacentral:rRNA from 1 species